rnacentral:rRNA from 1 species
UUCCGGUUGAUCCUGCCGGACCCGACUGCUAUCAGAGUGGGACUAAGCCAUGCAAGUCGACGUAGCAAUGCGUGGCGAACGGCUCAGUAACACGUAGUCAACAUGCCCAGGGGACGUGGAUAACCUCGGGAAACUGAGAAUAAACCACGAUAGGUCACGAUUUCUGGAAUGGAUCAUGGCCUAAAUCUACAUGGCCCCUGGAUUGGACUGCGGCCGAUCAGGCUGUUGGUGAGGUAAUGGCCCACCAAACCUAUAACCGGUACGGGCUCUGAGAGGAGAAGCCCGGAGAUGGGCACUGAGACAAGGGCCCAGGCCCUAUGGGGCGCAGCAGGCGCGAAACCUCUGCAAUAGGCGAAAGCCUGACAGGGUUACUCUGAGCGACUUUCGCUAAGAAAGUCUUUUGGCACCUCUAAAAAGGGUGCAGUAUAAGGGGUGGGCAAGUCUGGUGUCAGCCGCCGCGGUAAUACCAGCACCCCGAGUGGUCGGGACGAUUAUUGGGCCUAAAGCAUCCGUAGCCGGUUCUGCAAGUCCCCCGUUAAAUCCAGCUGCUCAACAGAUGGGCCGCGGAGGAUACUACAGAGCUAGGAGGCAGGAGAGGCAAGCGGUACUCAGUGGGUAGGGGUAAAAUCCGCUGAUCCAUAGAAGACCACCAGUGGCGAAGGCGGCUUGCCAGAACGCGCUCGACGGUGAGGGAUGAAAGCUGGGGGAGCAAACCGGAUUAGAUACCCGGGUAGUCCCAG